CAAAUUUUAUUUUACACACAGAGGGUACAUAUGCUGGUUUGUUACCUGGGUAUAUUGCAUACAGGUAGCGAGCAUAAUACCUAAUAGGUAGUUCUUCAACCCACAUCACACUUCCUCCUUCGCAUCUCCAGUAGUCCCCAGUUUUUGUUGUUCCCAUGUUUCUAUUCACGUAUGCUCAAUGUUUAGCUCUAUUAAAAUGAAGCUACUUCAUAGAGGAAACAAUCAAUAAGCUCAGUUGUCUGCAGAACAUUGUUGCUAAGAGACUCAAUUGUCUGCAGAACAUUGACGCUAAGAGAGGGAAAGAAUAAACAUUUAUGAGUUUAUUGGAAUCUUAGUUAUUUGUGACUUAAUGAAUGUUUACAAAUUAGCUGCUCAUAAUUGUGCUCUGCUUUCUGUGACUGCAAUGAGAAAACUGAGACAUGUGAGUUCCAAUAACCUAUCCAAAGUCCUCAAGUUAGUCAGUGGCAGAGACAGAACCUGAACCCAGACUUCCUGAAUGCACAUUAAUGUCCUUUGUCACUACACAGUUCUACAGAAGUUUGCCAAGACAAUAACACAGAUUUUAAAAUUUACCCAAGUAUUUGUUCCCUUGGCCAAUAUUUUUGCUGUGAAGGGGCUUCAGAUCUGGUUGCAUUCUUGACCUCUCUGUCACUCUUACCAAUUCUGUAUCAAGAGGGAUUUCCAGAGAAAGAGCAGUUUAUGUAAAGCUCAUCUCUCUCUCUCUCUCUCUCUCUCCCCCUCUCUCUCUCCUUUUCUUCUUAUUUAUUAUAUUUAGUUAUUUUUUGAGACGGAGUCUCACUGUGUUGCCAAGGCUGGAGUGAAGUGGCGUGAUUCGGCUCACUGCAACCUCUGCCUCCUGGGUUCAAGGGAUUCUCCUACCUCAGCUUCCCAAGUAGCUGGGAUUACAGGUGCCCGCCACCACAUCCGGCUGAUUUUUGUGUUUUUAGUAGAGAUGGGAUUUCACCAUAUUGGCCAAGCGGGGCUCUAACUCCUGACCUCAACUGAUCCACCCACCUCGGCCUCCCAAAGUGCUGGGAUUACAGGCGUGAGCCACCGCACCCGGCCUGUUUCUAUUUUUCUUUUUCUCUGGUUCUUCGUGCAGAAAGAGUGUGUUUUUCCUCUGUUUUAGGGCAUGCAGUAAAUUUAGCAAUAAGAUUCUGAUUGCUGGAGGGAGACUGUGGCUU
rnacentral:lncRNA from 10 species